rnacentral:rRNA from 1 species
GCAAGCCUGAUGGUGCGACGCCGCGUGAGGGAUGAAGGCCUUCGGGUUGUAAACCUCUGUCACUAGGGAGAAAACGCUUUGAGUUAAUAGUUCAAAGCCUGAUUUAACCUGGAGAAGAAGCAGUGGCUAACUCUGUGCCAGCAGCCGCGGUAAUACAGAGACUGCAAGCGUUAUUCGGAUUCACUGGGCGUAAAGGGUGCGCAGGCGGCCGAGUGUGUUAGAUGUGAAAUCCCGGGGCUCAACCCCGGAACUGCGUCUAAAACUACUUGGCUGGAGUAUUGGAGAGGGUAUCGGAAUUCACGGUGUAGCAGUGAAAUGCGUAGAUAUCGUGAGGAACACCAGAGGCGAAGGCGGAUACCUGGACAAUUACUGACGCUCAGGCACGAAAGCGUGGGGAGCAAAAGGGAUUAGAUACCCCUGUAGUCCACGCCCUAAACGGUGCACACUAGGUCUUGGCGGAUUCGACCCCACCAGGGCCCAAGCUAACGCGUUAAGUGUGCCGCCUGAGGACUACGGUCGCAAG